GGGUAUAUAGUUCAGUGAGAGAACACUUACCUAGCAAGCAUGAGGCCCUGGGUUCAAUCCCCAGCACCA
rnacentral:tRNA from 1 species